UGGGCAGGGGCGUGUGCUGCCCCAUCAAUGGCACAGUUGGCAUGGCAUGGGACAUGCACGGCCCACGCGGUCUCUGUGUCACAGCACCCAUGGCACCUGGCAUUAAGCCAUGAGCUCCUGCCCCUUUACUCCCGUAAUACAGAGCACAAGGAGGAGACCAGGGCCAUAGGCGCCCUGCUACAGAGCCGAGCUGGGACUGCGGAGUUUGUCCACCUCAGGAAACAGACUGCAGUCUCCAGAGCGUGCCCCUCAGACACGGAAGCUCAGGCGUGAGGGUGUCAGUUAAGUAAAGCCCCGGGCUCUGUCUGGGGUCACAGCCCCAGCUUCAGUAGGAUGGGCUAGGAGGGUGUGGAGGUUUGCCCUUGCCCUGUGCUCUGUGUAGUGGUGUGGGACACUCACAGCAGCCUCUGCCUCUUGCUUCUUCUGCAGGAUGUCGCUGGCCGUGUUCUCUCUCUGCUUUUCCAGUUCCCUUAAAGAAGCAACCACAAGUCACUACAGUGAGCGGACUGCGCCCCCUGCUGGACUGAGCCCAGAGAGCAGCCUGUGAUCUUAACUGACACUUCCAAAACAACCCCAGGCUAGACUAUGCAUCUUCCUUUAGCUUGAGAUGGCCUUCCCUGUCUACCUCCUUGAUGGAGAGUCCUGAACUGCUGUCUCCUUGGGAGACAGCUCAGUUCCCUCUCCAGUGCAGAAGAGACGGAGGUGCGGGAUUUCCAUGUAAAGCUCACCUCUCUUUCUGCGCCCUGAGGUACGGUCUGAUGAUCAACCGAUGAACUGCCAAGUACACGACCAGCGGCCCCACGGUGGCGUAGAACACAGCGCUGGGCAGCAGCUGGUCCGUCAGGUGGAUGGGGAAGAAGUAUGUUUGACUGGCCCUGUUCAGCCUGGGAGGACACAAGAGCAAACCCCACAGGAUGGGUCAGAUCUUCCAGGGAGGAGAGCUGGGGUCUCUUAACAACCAGUCCACCAGGUCCAAGGCUGAGCUGAGUGUGUGUGAUACUUAACUGGUGUCAAAGGCCUCAGAGGAGAGGGAAGCAGUCCCAGAGACAGCCCGUGUCAGUGAGUGAGGUGUUUCAAACAAGUCAAGGACUUCAGAAGGCGCCGGAUUAAACUGGUAAGAUGGAGACUAUGAGGGGCUGCACAGUUGUAACCAUGUUUAUUAGGAAGGCGUCAAGCCUGGCACGGUGAUUCACACCAUUAAGCCCAGCCACGGGGAUGCAGAGGCCUUGGGUCUUUGCGAGUUUGGGAUUGGCAUGGUUUAUCUAAUGAGACCCUGUCUUAAAAAAGAUGGAGAGGACACGCUGCCAGUAGGCAGGUGACAGAAACAGACCAACACUGAGAAAUCUCAGACUUACACACUCCUUGAAACACGGUCAACAAAACAGCAAAGUUAACAGAAGGUGAUAUAGAAAAGGUCUGUUUAUGAAAAAUUAAAUUCAUUUAGAUUUGAGUUCUACCCCCAAGACUCCUAUUGUCCACACAGAUACUUGGAAAUCUGAGCUCUACCACACGCAGGUCAAGGGUGAGGGACGUGUGGCCCACACAGACAGUUCAUGGUAGAGGUGGCUUAGCAGUUAAGACAGGCGUGGAGGUCUUCUUCCAAGUUCAGUUCCCAGCAACCACAGUUGGAGGCUUGGAGCUGCCCAGCUCCAGGGGAUAUGACACCCCUGGCCUCCAAGAAACCUUGUACUCCUAAAUAGAGCCACACUCAUACACAUAAUUAAAAACAAUAAAUCUUUUAAAAGUUCA